UAGGGAAUCUUCCACAAUGGACGCAAGUCUGAUGGAGCAACGCCGCGUGAGUGAAGAAGGCUUUCGGGUCGUAAAACUCUGUUGUUGGAGAAGAAUGGUCGGCAGAGUAACUGUUGUCGGCGUGACGGUAUCCAACCAGAAAGCCACGGCUAACUACGUGCCAGCAGCCGCGGUAAUACGUAGGUGGCAAGCGUUAUCCGGAUUUAUUGGGCGUAAAGCGAGCGCAGGCGGUUUUUAAGUCUGAUGUGAAAGCCCUCGGCUUAACCGAGGAAGCGCAUCGGAAACUGGGAAACUUGAGUGCAGAAGAGGACAGUGGAACUCCAUGUGUAGCGGUGAAAUGCGUAGAUAUAUGGAAGAACACCAGUGGCGAAGGCGGCUGUCUGGUCUGUAACUGACGCUGAGGCUCGAAAGCAUGGGUAGCGAACAGGAUUAGAUACCCUGGUAGUCCAUGCCGUAAACGAUGAAUGCUAG
rnacentral:rRNA from 1 species